AUUGAACGCUGGCGGCAUGCUUUACACAUGCAAGUCGAACGGCAGCGCGGGCUUCGGCCUGGCGGCGAGUGGCGAACGGGUGAGUAAUACAUCGGAACGUGCCCAGUAGUGGGGGGUAGCUCGGCGAAAGCCGGAUUAAUACCGCAUACGACCUGAGGGUGAAAGCGGGGGAUCUUCGGACCUCGCGCUAUUGGAGCGGCCGAUGGCAGAUUAGCUAGUUGGUGGGGUAAAGGCCUACCAAGGCGACGAUCUGUAGCUGGUCUGAGAGGACGACCAGCCACACUGGGACUGAGACACGGCCCAGACUCCUACGGGAGGCAGCAGUGGGGAAUUUUGGACAAUGGGCGAAAGCCUGAUCCAGCAAUGCCGCGUGUGUGAUGAAGGCCUUCGGGUUGUAAAGCACUUUUGGCGGGAACGAAAAGGACUGUGCCAAUACCACGGUUCGAUGACGGUACCCGCAGAAUAAGCACCGGCUAACUACGUG
rnacentral:rRNA from 1 species